UACGGAGGUGGCAAGCGUUGUUCGGAAUUACUGGGCGUAAAGGGCGCGUAGGCGGGGAGGCAAGUCGGGUGUGAAAGCCCUCGGCUCAACCGAGGAACGGCGCCCGAAACUGCUUCUCUUGAGUCCCGGAGAGGAAGGUGGAAUUCCCGGUGUAGCGGUGAAAUGUGUAGAUAUCGGGAGGAACACCGGUGGCGAAGGCGGCCUUCUGGACGGUGACUGACGCUGAGGCGCGAAAGCGUGGGGAGCAAACGGGAUUAGAUACCCCGGUAGUCCACGCUGUAAACGAUGGGUGCUAGGUGUGGGGGGUAUCGACCCCCUCCGUGCCGAAGCUAACGCAUUAAGCACCCCGCCUGGGGAGUACGGCCGCAAGGUUGAA
rnacentral:rRNA from 1 species